rfam:Ictidomys tridecemlineatus contig009842, whole genome shotgun sequence.
UGGGUUGUAGCUCAGAGGUAGAGUGCUCUCCUGACAUGCAUGAGGCACUGGGUUCAAUCCUCAGCAUCCCAU